rnacentral:snRNA from 1 species
GUGCUCGCUUCAGCAGCACAUAUACUAAAAUUGGAACGAUACAGAGAAGAUUAGCAUGGCCCCUGUGCAAGGAUGACAUGCAAAUACGUGAAGUGUUCCAUAUUUUU